rnacentral:rRNA from 1 species
AUGUCAUUGAAACAAAUCUGUUUUGUCUCUGUUUUCUUUUCGGAUGAUGAGGAUGAGCCAGCCGAUCCUAACAUAAUUUUGAAGGAGCCGGACGACGAAGCCUCAAAAUCAGAUAAAGAUGUCUCCAACGCGACCGGACUUCCACUA